rnacentral:rRNA from 1 species
UACGUAAGGUGCGAGCGUUGUCCGGAAUUAUUGGGCGUAAAGAGCUUGUAGGCGGUUUGUCGCGUCUGCUGUGAAAAUCCGGGGCUCAACCCCGGACUUGCAGUGGGUACGGGCAGACUAGAGUGUGGUAGGGGAGACUGGAAUUCCUGGUGUAGCGGUGAAAUGCGCAGAUAUCAGGAGGAACACCGAUGGCGAAGGCAGGUCUCUGGGCCACUACUGACGCUGAGAAGCGAAAGCAUGGGGAGCAAACAGG